GGGUCGAUGCCCGAGUGGUUAAUGGGGGCGGACUGUAAAUCCGCUGGCUUGGCCUACGUUGGUUCAAAUCCAACUCGGCCCA
rnacentral:tRNA from 1 species